rnacentral:rRNA from 1 species
GACGUAGGAUGCGAGCGUUGUCCGGAUUCAUUGGGCGUAAAGAGUUCGUAGGCGGUUUGUUAAGUCUGAUGUUAAAGAUCGGGGCCCAACCCUGGGAGUGCAUUGGAUACUGGCAGACUGGAGUGCAGUAGAGGCGAGUGGAAUUCCCAGUGUAGCGGUGAAAUGCGUAGAUAUUGGGAAGAACACCGGUGGCGCAGGCGACUCGCUGGGCUGUAACUGACGCUGAGGAACGAAAGCUAGGGGAGCAAAUGGG